CCCUAGCCCUUCAGAGGGGGACAACAGUUGGAAACGACUGCUAAUACCGCAUACGAUCCGACCUCGGCAUCGAGGAUGGAUGAAAGGUGGCCUCUAUUUAUAAGCUAUCACUGAAGGAGGGGAUUGCGUCUGAUUAGCUAGUUGGAGGGGUAACGGCCCACCAAGGCAAUGAUCAGUAGCCGGUCUGAGAGGAUGAACGGCCACAUUGGGACUGAGACACGGCCCAG
rnacentral:rRNA from 1 species